AGAGUUUGAUCCUGGCUCAGAACGAACGCUGGCGGCGUGCCUAACACAUGCAAGUCGAACGGGGAUAAGUAGCUUGCUAUUUAUUCUAGUGGCGCACGGGUGAGUAACGCGUAGAUAAUCUGCCUUAGACUCUGGGAUAACAUCUCGAAAGGGGUGCUAAUACCGGAUAAGCCCACGGGGACGUGAGUUCUUGCGGGAAAAGGGGGCCUCUGCAUAUGCUCUUGAUCUAAGAUGAGUCUGCGUACCAUUAGCUUGUUGGUAGGGUAAUGGCCUACCAAGGCGACGAUGGUUAGCUGGUCUGAGAGGAUGAUCAGCCACACUGGGACUGAGACACGGCCCAGACUCCUACGGGAGGCAGCAGUGGGGAAUUUUGCGCAAUGGGGGAAACCCUGACGCAGCAACGCCGCGUGAGUGAUGAGGGCUUUCGGGUCGUAAAGCUCUGUCUAGAGGGAAGAAGUGAUAUUCGGUUAAUACCCGGGUUUCUUGACGGUACCUCUGAAGGAAGCACCGGCUAACUCCGUGCCAGCAGCCGCGGUAAUA
rnacentral:rRNA from 1 species